GCCAGGCAUGGUGGCACAUGCCUGUGAUCCCAAGGCCUUGGGAGGCUGAGGCAGGAGGAUUGCAAGUUCAAAGCCAGGCUCAGCAAUAGCAAGGCGCUAAGCAACUCAGUGAGAUCCUGUCUCUG
rnacentral:sRNA from 1 species